CGCGGGGUAGAGCAGCGGUAGCUCGUCGGGCUCAUAACCCGGAGGUCGCAGGUUCGAAUCCUGCCCCCGCAA
rnacentral:tRNA from 1 species